GAAAAAAAAGAAUGAUAUGAAAAAGAGUUUGAAAGAUUCAUGAGUGCAAAGGGUAGAGUUAAGUUGGGACAGGAGUUGGGAUUACCGUUAGAACUUCAUUGUUAUACUCUGGGUAGAUGGGAUCUUAUCUGUGUAUGCAUAACUUGGGACUUACCUUUAGCAUUCUACUAAAGCUCAAUCAUUCUUGAGGGAUCCCCUGUUACUUAAGCCUAUUCUAUAAGGGACCAUCUCUGUCUCUUGACCUUCACCUUAGC
rnacentral:sRNA from 1 species